UCCAAGUUUAGAACACCAUUAUUUAAACACAAAGCGCAUCAUAUUAGACAAGACUUUAAUGAGAAUAACAAUGAUCAAGAAAAAUUACCGCUUUUUAAUCAGGGCCAUUGGCUUCCGCUUCAAUCCCUUCUGAAAUCUAGAGUAGCAAAAGG